CCUCGCGGGCGCCCCCACCCCCCUAUUUCACCCCUCAACUCACUCACAGGUUACAGAGGGAUGUGCUUCCGUUUCCUUUUUUUUUUUUUUGGUCUUCCAAAAAAAAGACCUUCCCCUUUGGUCUCAGGUGUGCUUUCAGGGUCCUCUUCUACAAGAUACCCUCAAGACAGUCAUCAUUAUCAGUACCCCCAUCAUAUGCUUUCUAAACUAACCAUCUAAAGUUCCUGCCAUUAUCUACUGUAACAUCUGCCAUGAUGAACCUGCUCCUGGUCUGUCUCAUCUUUAAAAAACUUUGCUGAGGGAUGUGCCCUGGUACUUUUAACUCCAGGGACUUUAAAGACUCACUAAGUAGACUCCUGCCUCAGGGCGUUGGCACUGGCUCUUUCCCCAGCACUUGACGCUUUGGUAGCCCUUCCCUUCUCUAGAGGAUCUUCCCACUCCAGGAAAUGAACCUGGGUCUCCUGCAUCUCAAGUGGAUUCUUCACCGUCUGAGCCACCAGAGAAACCCGUAACACACUAUACCAACUCUUUAUUAUGUUCAUUAUUUAACUGCCUCUCCUCUCUAGAAUGUCAGCUCCAUCAGGGCAAGGAUUUUUGUUUUGUUCACAUGUGACUACAACAGGGUCUGAUGUCUGAUACAUGAAAAAUACUCAAUAAAUAGUUGUUGAGUGAAAGAACCAGUCAAAGCAGAGUUUUUAAAAGUGAGUUUAUAAAUUGAUUUUUAAUUUACUCUGAAAUCAGAAUAUCCCUUUUUUCCCCACAGAAGCAAUUUUAUAGGUGCAGGUUAUGUAUUUAAAUCAAUACAUGGAGAUCUAUUAAGCUGAUAAUUUAGCUUUAGAAAGCAUCUUUUGAUAUGGGCACCAUUCAGGGCAGUCUUAAGUAAAAAUCUAGAGUGAUGCUUUAAAAAUUAAGUUAGGGGAAUUAAUAUUUAACUUAAAAGGGAUUAAGCCAAGAAUCACCUUACAUCUUGUUGAAGGCCCUUUCAUAAUCACUUCUUCCCAAGGCCUUCCAUCAUCAUUUCAGAGCACAUGUAAGCAGCCCUCGAUCUCACAGAGAGGUUGUUAACUGUAAUACCUUCCUUUGGCAAUUAGACAUGCAGUUUUGUGCCAGUUCUUGUACAGAAUUACCUCUUAAACCAGAUAACCACAGUCCGGAAUUCUCUGUAAAUCUCAGCAGGGAGUCGGGGGGCGGGGUGGGAUCAGCUGAAGUCAUCACCAUCCCUGUACAAACUGCAGAAAUUGAUGGAUUGGCUCACUUUUCAGAGCACUAACAGUUGGACCAACCUCCGUUGUCAAGAGCCUUAAUCCAGCAUUAACAUCUGCAUCAUAACUCUUACCCAUGACUAAACCACUGCAGGAUUAAUGUAGGCGGACCACUGCACCAGUGUUUAUUAUACAAUCUGCUUGAGCCUUUCAUCAUGUCAAAGAGAUAAGCAUUGGGUAAAGGGAAGCCAAUGUGAAACUGACACCUUAUAUACACUUCUCUGUUCCUUGAGAAGCUGGUCUGUGCUACUGAACUAAACUGUUGGUUUUCUUCUCAGGCAUUAAUAGUUAAUUUAUAUGAGACUGCAUCUUGGGUUUCCAGUUAGACAGUAGACUGUGUAAGGGUAGAGACUGUGUCUCCUUUUUUAUCCCUCAAAGCACCUAGCGUGGCCCUUACACAUACUAGUAAUUAUAACCCAAUUUCACCUUCAUUUUGCAUUUUAUCCAGUACCAUGUUCCAAUUCACUGAAUCCCUACACCACUGCAUUGGGCAGACAGUUAUUUCUCCCAUCUUAGAGCUGAGGUUACUGCUGUACAAAAAGAUCCUGGACCUUGCCCAAGGUCACGCAGCUAAUAAAUGGUCUUAGCCCAAGCAAUCCAACUCCUGCACCCACGCUCUUAGCCACUAAUCUGAGAUGUAAAAUUAUGGCUUAAUAGAUUGAAAUAUCAGACUCUCUCUAGUGGGUAAAGAUACCUUUUAAUUUUCAAAUAUAUAUAUUUAAUAUAGUUAUAUAUGCACGUGUCUUCGUAUACACCUACAAAUAUGUAUAAACUGAAAUAUAUAUAUGUUAGUUGUGAAUCAUUUUCUAUGGUGUAUAUAUGUAGAAUGAUGAUGCUGAAGAGAAGUGAGUUUCAUUUCAGCAGUCCACAUUGGGAAUAAAACAUCUUCAUUUGCACUGCAUUUGUGAAAAUCAUUCUAUGAAUGUUAUGAAAGCAAUACAAAUUUACUGUCAUGAACUCAGACCUGGAAGUAUCUUCACCUCUCCCCAGUAACUAGUCUUCAUUGUUGUUCUCUGAAAAUUGUACUUCCUCCAUUCCUUUUAAGGUCUGAUUUCUUCCAAUCAUAGAAAUUAACACGCCGGGGGAAAAAGACAUUCCAGUCAUCCAACCUAUUCCUCAGUCAAGAGAACUACAGUCCUCACUGUCUCCCUGCUGAUGGGCUUUAAGAUCCCAGAUGACAUUUUUUAGCCACAAAGAUUUUCUCUUCCCCCAGGGUGAUAGUUUGAGUCUGUUAGAUGAGACAGUAAGUACUGCUUAGGGUAUGAAAUUUUGCCAACUAACCCUCCCAGAUUAUGGAAGAUCAU